rnacentral:ncRNA from 1 species
AUCGCGAGGUACGGGCGAGAAGAAGGGAUAGCGAAAUCGUAGCCUGACGAACAGAAACCUAAUACCAAGGCUAGUAUGAUGGAUGAGCGGGCAAAUAGUCGUGAAAUCCAAAAGGCAAUCGUAACUCAUACUGGUAGAUUAGGCAGGUAGACGAGGAAAGAC